GUUAAUGGAGAUACUUAAAUGUCUUGAAGGCAUCAGAUCCUGUCUGAUCUUGGAAACUUAGCAGGGUCAGGCCUGGUUAGUAUUUGGAAGGGGAACUACCAAGGAACACCAGAUGCUGCCAGCU
rnacentral:rRNA from 1 species